UACAGAGGUCCCAAGCGUUACUGAGAAUCACUGGGUUUAAAGGGUGCGUAGGUGGUCCGUUAAGUCAGUUGUGAAAUCCCCGGGCUCAACCCGGGAAAUGCUUCUGAUACUGGCGGACUUGAGGCCAGUAGGGGUCACUAGAACUGACGGUGGAGCGGUGAAAUGCGUAGAUAUCGUCAGGAAUGCCGGUGGUGAAGACGGGUGACUGGGCUGGUUCUGACGCUCAGGUGCGAAAGCGUGGGGAGCGAACCGG
rnacentral:rRNA from 1 species